GUGCCAGCAGCCGCGGCAAUACGGAGGAUCCGAGCGUUAUCCGGAUUCAUUGGGUUUAAAGGGUGCGCAGGCGGCUUCUUAAGUCAGCGGUAAAAUCGUGGGGCUCAACCCCAUCCCGCCGUUGAUACUGGGGAGCUUGAUUACGGUCGAGGCAGGCGGAAUUCGUCGUGUAGCGGUGAAAUGCAUAGAUAUGACGAAGAACACCGAUUGCGUAGGCAGCCUACCAGGCCGUUAAUGACGCUCAUGCACGAAAGUGCGGGGAUCGAACAGGAUUAGAUACCCUGGUAGUCCGCACAGUAAACGAUGAAUACUUGCUUUCGGCGAUACAAUGUCGGAGGCAAAGCGAAAGCGAUAAGUAUUCCACCUGGGGAGUACGCCGGCAACGGUGAAACUCAAAGGAAUUGACGGGGGCCCGCACAAGCGGAGGAACAUGUGGUUUAAUUCGAUGCUACGCGAGGAACCUUACCCGGGCUUGAAAGUUAGCGACGGAGGCUGAAAGGCCUCUUCCCUUCGGGGCGCGAAACUAGGUGCUGCAUGGUUGUCGUCAGCUCGUGCCGUGAGGUGUCGGCUUAAGUGCCAUAACGAGCGCAACCCUUUUCUCCAGUUACCAUCAUUGAGUUGGGGACUCUGGAGACACUGCCAUCGCAAGAUGUGAGGAAGGAUGGGAUGACGUCAAAUCAGCACGGCCCUUACGUCCGGGGCGACACACGUGUUACAAUGGGAGGGACAGAAAGCUGCGACUCGGUGACGAGGAGCCAAUCUCCAAACCUUCUCCCAGUUCGGAUCGGAGUCUGCAACCCGACUCCGUGAAGCUGGAUUCGCUAGUAAUCGCGCAUCAGCCAUGGCGCGGUGAAUACGUUCCCGGGCCUUGUACACACCGCCCGU
rnacentral:rRNA from 1 species